rnacentral:rRNA from 1 species
UACGUAGGGUGCAAGCGUUGUCCGGAUUUAUUGGGUUUAAAGGGUGCGCAGGCGGUUCUUUAAGUUAGUGGUGAAAUCGUCCGGCUUAACCGGAUACCCGCCAUUGAUACUGGAGAACUUGAGUACGUCUGAGGAGAUUAGAAUGCGUGGUGUAGCGGUGAAAUGCAUAGAUAUCACGCAGAAUACCGAUUGCGAAGGCA